CCUAGUUGAUCCUAUCAGUAUUCAUAUGUUUUUAUCAAAGAUUAAGCCAUGCAUGUGUAAGUAUGAACAAAUUCAGACUUUGACACUACAAAUGGCUCAUUAAAUCAGUUAUAGUUUGUUUGAUGGUAUGUACUACUUAGAUAACCGUAGUAAUUCUAGAGAUAAUACGUGCAGCAAACCCCAACUUUUGGAAGAGAUGUAUUUAUUAGAUAAAAGAUCGAUGAAGGCUCUGCCCAUUGCUGUGAUGAUUCAUGAUAACUCGAUGAAUAGCACGACCAUCAUACUGGCGAUACAUCAUUUAAAUUUUUGCCCUAUCAACUUUCGAUGGUAGGAUCGUGGCCUGCUAUCGUGGGUAUAAGUGACGGAGAAUUAGGGUUCGAUUCCAGAGAGGGAUCCUGAGAAACGGAUACCACAUCCAAGGAAUGCAGCAGGCGCACAAAUUACCCAACCCUGACACGAGGAGAAAGUGACAAUAAAUAAUAAUACCGGGCUCAAUGAGUCUGUAAUUGGAAUAAGUAUGAUCUAAACCCCUUAACGAGGAUCCAUUAGAGAGCAUGUCUAGUGCCAGCAACAACAGUAAUUCUAGCUCCACUAGCUUAUAUUUAAGUUGUUGCAGUUAAAAAGCUUGUAGUUGGACUUUGGGAUAGACCGGCCGGUCUGCCUAUGAUGUGCCCCAGUCAUCUCGUCCUUUUUGUCGGUGAUGCGUUCCUGGCAUUAACUGUCCGGGUUGUGCCUUUGGUACUUUUACUUUAAAGAAAUUAGAGUUCUCAAAGCAAGCCUACGCUCUGUAUAGAUUAGUAUGGGAUAACAUUAUAGAAUUUUGGUCGUAUUACAUUCGCCUUCGGGAUCGAAGUAAUGAUUAACAGGGACAGUCGGGGUCAUUCGUAUUUCAUAGUCAGAAGUGAAAUUCUUUGAUUUAUGAAAGACGAACAACUAAGAAAGCAUUUUCCAAGUAUGAUUUCAUUAAUAUAGAAUGAAAAUUGGGGGCUUAAAGAUGAUCAGUUACCAUCCUAGUCUCAACUAUAAACGAUGCCGACCAGGGAUCGGCGAAUGUUGCUUUUAGGACUCCGUCGGCACCAUACGAGAAAUCAAAGUUUUUGGAUUCGAGGGGAGUAUGGUCGCAAGGCUGAAACAUAAAGGAAUUGAUAGAAGGGAACCUCCAGGAGUAGAGAGUGCAUCUUAAUUUGACUCAACACCGGGAAACUUACCAGGUCCAGACAUAGUAAGGAUUGAUAGACUGAGAGCUCUUUCUUGAUUCUAUGGGUGGUGGUGCAUGGACUUUCUUAGUUAGUAAAGCAAUUUUUCUGGUUAAUUCCAUUAAUGAACGAGAUUUCUGCCAGCUAACUAGCUAUACAAAGGUAUCCCUUUGCGGCCAGCUUCUUAGAGGGACUACAGCCUUUUAGGCCAUGGAAGUUUGAGGCAAUAAUAGGUUUGUGAUGCCCUUGAAUGUUCUGGGCCGCACACGCGCUACACUGAUGUAUUCAAUGAUUUUAUAGCCUUGGCCGACAAGCUCGAGUAAACUUUUAAAUUUCAUCAUGAUGUGGAUAGAUCAUAUCUAUUGUUGGUCUUUAGCGAGGAAUUCCUUGUAAGCGUGACUCAUCAGCUCGCGUUGACUAUGUCCCUUCCCUUUCCGCACAUCGCCUGUUGCUCUUACCGAUUGAAUUAUACAAUAAAAUGUUCAGAUCAAAGUGAUGUGGGUGGUUUGUUGCCUACGACAUAGAGAGAAGUCCAUCAAACCUUAUCAUUUAGAGGAAGGAGAAGUCGUAACUAGGUUUCCAUAGGUAAACCUGCCUAAG
rnacentral:rRNA from 1 species